GUUGUAUGGUUAAGUGACUAAGCGUAUGUGGUGGAUGCCUUGGCAGUUAGAGGCGAUGAAGGACGUGUUAAUCUGCGAAAAGCUUUGGUGAGGUGAUAAAAACCGUUAUAGCCAAAGAUAUCCGAAUGGGGAAACCCACCCAACGUAAGUUGGGUAUCAUUAAGUGAAUACAUAGCUUAAUGAGGCGAACCGGGAGAACUGAAACAUCUAAGUACCCCGAGGAAAAGAAAUCAACCGAGAUUUCCUUAGUAGCGGCGAGCGAACGGGAAUUAGCCCUUAAGUGGUUUGUAAGUUAGUGGAAUCUACUGGAAAGUAGAGCGAUACAGGGUGAUAGCCCCGUACACGAAAAUAAACUUAUCAUGAAAUCGAGUAGGUCGGCACACGUGAAACGUUGACUGAACAUGGGGGGACCAUCCUCCAAGGCUAAAUACUCCUAACUGACCGAUAGUGAACCAGUACCGUGAGGGAAAGGCGAAAAGAACCCCUGUGAGGGGAGUGAAAUAGAACCUGAAACCGCAUACGUACAAGCAGUGAGAGCUAGAUUGAGUCUAGUGAUUGCGUACCUUUUGUAUAAUGGGUCAGCGACUUAUAUUCUGUAGCAAGGUUAACCGAAUAGGGGAGCCGUAGCGAAAGCGAGUGUUAACUGCGCGUUUAGUUGCAGGGUAUAGACCCGAAACCCGGCGAUCUACCCAUGGGCAGGUUGAAGGUUGAGUAACAUCAACUGGAGGACCGAACACACGUAUGUUGAAAAAUGCGGUGAUGACUUGUGGGUCGGAGUGAAAGGCUAAUCAAGCCGGGAGAUAGCUGGUUCUCCCCGAAAUCUAUUUAGGUAGAGCCUCGCACGAACACCAUUGGGGGUAGAGCACUGUUAAGGCUAGGGGGUCAUCCCGACUUACCAACCCUUUGCAAACUCCGAAUACCAAUGAGUGAUAUGCGGGAGACACACUACGGGUGCUAACGUCCGUUGUGAAGAGGGAAACAACCCAGACCGCCAGCUAAGGUCCCAAAGUACUAGUUAAGUGGGAAACGAUGUGGAAAGGCAUAGACAGCUAGGAGGUUGGCUUAGAAGCAGCCAUCCUUUAAAGAAAGCGUAAUAGCUCACUAGUCGAGUCGGUCUGCGCGGAAGAUGUAACGGGGCUAAACUAGUCACCGAAGCUGCGGAUUCAAUCUUUUAGAUUGAGUGGUAGGGGAGCGUUCUGUAAGCCGUUGAAGGUGAGUUGUAAAGCUUGCUGGAGGUAUCAGAAGUGCGAAUGCUGACAUGAGUAACGAUAAGGGGAGUGAAAAACUCCCCCGCCGAAAGACCAAGGUUUCCUGUCCCAUGUUAAUCAGGGCAGGGUAAGUCGGCCCCUAAGGCGAGGCGGAAACGCGUAGUCGAUGGGAAACAGAUUAAUAUUUCUGUACU
rnacentral:rRNA from 1 species